CUGGUGUGAAUUGCAGAAUCCCGUGAACCAUCGAGUCUUUGAACGCAAGUUGCGCCCGAAGCCUUCGGGCCGAGGGCACGCCUGCCUGGGCAUC
rnacentral:rRNA from 1 species